ACAGGAUUAGAUACCCUGGUAGUCCACGCCCUAAACGAUGUCAACUAGCUGUUGGGGCCUUCGGGCCUUGGUAGCGCAGCUAACGCGUGAAGUUGACCGCCUGGGGAGUACGGUCGCAAGAUUAAAACUCAAAGGAAUUGACGGGGACCCGCACAAGCGGUGGAUGAUGUGGAUUAAUUCGAUGCAACGCGAAAAACCUUACCUACCCUUGACAUGUCUGGAAUUCCGAAGAGAUUUGGAAGUGCUCGCAAGAGAACCGGAACACAGGUGCUGCAUGGCUGUCGUCAGCUCGUGUCGUGAGAUGUUGGGUUAAGUCCCGCAACGAGCGCAACCCUUGUCAUUAGUUGCUACGAAAGGGCACUCUAAUGAGACUGCCGGUGACAAACCGGAGGAAGGUGGGGAUGACGUCAAGUCCUCAUGGCCCUUAUGGGUAGGGCUUCACACGUCAUACAAUGGUCGGGACAGAGGGUCGCCAACCCGCGAGGGGGAGCCAAUCCCAGAAACCCGAUCGUAGUCCGGAUCGCAGUCUGCAACUCGACUGCGUGAAGUCGGAAUCGCUAGUAAUCGCGGAUCAGCAUGUCGCGGUGAAUACGUUCCCGGGUCUUGUACACACCGCCCGUCACACCAUGGGAGUGGGUUUUACCAGAAGUA
rnacentral:rRNA from 1 species